rnacentral:rRNA from 1 species
CUUAGUGACCGAUAGCGCAUAGUACUGUGAAGGAAAGGUGAAAAGGACCCCGGGAGGGGAGUGAAAAAGAACCUGAAACCAUAUGUUUACAAGCUGUGGAACCGCUUUAUAUGCGGAACCGCGUACUUUUUGUAGAACGGUCCGGCGAGUUACGCUGGCUGGCGAGGUUAAGGGCUGAAGGCCUGGAGCCGAAGGGAAACCGAGUCUGAACAGGGCGAAAUAGUCAGUCGGAGUAGACCCGAAACCGGGUGAUCUAUCCAUGUCCAGGUUGAAGUUGCCGUAAAAGGCAAUGGAGGACCGAACCCACAUCCGUUGAAAAGGGUGGGGAUGAGGUGUGGAUAGGGGAGAAAUUCCAAUCGAACCCGGAGAUAGCUGGUUCUCCUCGAAAUAGCUUUAGGGCUAGCCUCAUGCAAGUCUUACGGAGGUAGAGCACUGAAUUCCUAAGGGGGCGUCAAAGCUUACCAAGGGAUAUCAAACUCCGAAUGCCGUGUAGAUGGUGCAUGGGAGUCAGACUAUCCGAGAUAAGUUGGGUAGUCAAAAGGGAAAGAGCCCAGACCUACAGCUAAGGUCCCAAAAUGUGUGUUAAGUGGAAAAGGAUGUGGGAUUUCGAAGACAACUAGGAUGUUGGCUUAGAAGCAGCCAUCCAUUAAAAGAGUGCGUAAUAGCUCACUAGUCGAGAGGUCCUGCGCCGAAAAUGUCCGGGGCUGAAACACACUACCGAAGCUUGGGAAUUGACGAAUGUUAAUUGGUAGAGGAGCAUUCUUAACGGGGCGAAGCUGUACCGGAAGGAGCAGUGGACUGUUAAGAAGAGAGAAUGCCGGAAUGAGUAGCGAGAGGAAGGUGAGAAUCCUUCCGGCCGAAUAUCUAAGGUUUCCAGAGUAAAGCUGAUCUGCUCUGGGUAAGUCGGGGCCUAAGGCGAGGUCGAAAGACGUAGUCGAUGGAUAACAGGUAAAGAUUCCUGUACUAUAUCAUAACAGAACUGUGGGGACGCAGACAGAGAGCAUAAGCCGGGAAUGGAAAAACCGGUACAAGCGAGGUAGGAGUGCAUCAGGCAAAUCCGGUGCACAAUCUGAAGACGUGAUGUGGGGCGUAAAGCCGGAAGUAUGUGAGCUGGCUGCCAAGAAAAGCCGCUAUUGUUUAUGAUAUACCCGUACCGUAAACCGACACAGGUGGAUGAGGAGAGAAUCCUAAGGCCGACGGGAGAAGCAUUGUUAAGGAACUCGGCAAAAUGACUCCGUAACUUCGGGAGAAGGAGUGCCAUGUAAAAGUGGCCGCAGAGAAUUGGCCCAAGCAACUGUUUAGCAAAAACACAGGUCUAUGCAAAACCGAAAGGUGAGGUAUAUGGGCUGACGCCUGCCCGGUGCUGGAAGGUUAAGGGGAGAGGUUAGCCGUAAGGCGAAGCUUUGAACUUAAGCCCCAGUAAACGGCGGCCGUAACUAUAACGGUCCUAAGGUAGCGAAAUUCCUUGUCGGGUAAGUUCCGACCCGCACGAAAGGCGUAAUGAUUUGGGCACUGUCUCAACAAUGCACCCGGUGAAAUUGAAAUACCAGUGAAGAUGCUGGUUACCUGCGCCAGGACGGAAAGACCCCAUGGAGCUUUACUCCAGCUUGAUACUGGGAUUCGAUAUUGCAUGUACAGGAUAGGUGGGAGACUGAGAACUGAUGACGCCAGUUGUCAGGGAGUCACUGUUGGGAUACCACCCUUGUAGUAUUGGAUUUCUAACCAGCAGCCGUGAACCGGCUGGGGGACAAUGUCAGGUGGGGAGUUUGACUGGGGCGGUCGCCUCCGAAAGGGUAUCGGAGGCGCUCAAAGGUUCCCUCAGAAUGGUUGGAAACCAUUCGAAGAGUGCAAAGGCAGAAGGGAGCUUGACUGCGACACCGACGGGUGGAGCAGGUACGAAAGUAGGACUUAGUGAUCCGGUGGUAUAAAGUGGGAUUGCCAUCGCUCAACGGAUAAAAGCUACCCUGGGGAUAACAGGCUUAUCACUCCCAAGAGUUCACAUCGACGGAGUGGUUUGGCACCUCGAUGUCGGCUCAUCGCAUCCUGGGGCUGUAGUAGGUCCCAAGGGUUGGGCUGUUCGCCCAUUAAAGCG